GAUGAAGAACGUAGCGAAAUGCGAUACUUGGUGUGAAUUGCAGAAUCCCGUGAACCAUCGAGUCUUUGAACGCAAGUUGCGCCCGAAGCCUCGGCUAAGGGCACGUCUGCCUGGGCGUCACGCAUCGCGUCUCCCCCAAACCGCCAAGGCGGAGGGGAAGGAAGAUGGCUUCCCGUGCCUCACCCGGCGCGGUUGGCCUAAAUUUGGAGCCCGCGGCACUUAGCUCUCGCGGCGAUAGGUGGUGAACAAGGCCUUGGCCGUGCAAACAACCCGCUGCUAAGCUCUAUGUCACGUGCGCUCGUCGGACCCUUUGAAGUUGCCUUCGGUGACUUAAAACCUUUGCGACCCCAGGUCAGGCGGGGCUACCCGCUGAAUUUAAGCAUAUCAAUAAGCGGAGGA
rnacentral:misc_RNA from 1 species